rfam:Schistosoma mattheei strain Denwood, Zambia genome assembly, scaffold: SMTD_scaffold0009689
AUGCAUCUGACGAGUCCCAAAUAGGACGAAACGCUCAUCUUGGAU